rnacentral:rRNA from 1 species
UCCUACGGGAGGCAGCAGCCGAGAAUAUUUGUCAAUGGGCGAAAGCCUGAACGAGCGACGCCGCGUGUGGGAAGAAGGUUUUCGGAUUGUAAACCACUUUUAUUCGGGAGAAAUCCGCAAGGAUGAUAGUACCGAAUGAAUAAGGGGUUCCCAACUCUGUGCUAGCAGGAGCGGUAAUACAGAGACCCCGAGCGUUAUCCGGAAUUAUUGGGCGUAAAGCGUCUGUAGGCGGUUUAAGUAGUGAGAUGUCAAAUGUCGAAGCUCAACUUCGUCACCGCAUCUCAAACGUUUAGACUAGAGCAUAUGAGAGGCUGAUGGAACUUGUGGUGUAGCGGUGAAAUGCGUUGAUAUCACAAGGAACACCAAAGGCGAAGGCAUUCAGCUGGAAUAUUGCUGACGCUGAGAAACGAAAGCGUGGGGAUCAAAAAGGAUUAGAUACCCCAGUAGUCCAAGCCG